rnacentral:tRNA from 1 species
GGGCCCGUAGCUUAGCCAGGUAGAGCGACGGGCUCUUAACCCGUAGUCCCGGGUUCGAAUCCCGGCGGGCCCG